rnacentral:rRNA from 1 species
UACAGAGGGGGCAAGCGUUGUUCGGAAUUACUGGGCGUAAAGGGCGCGUAGGCGGCCUGUUAAGUCGAACGUGAAAUCCCCGGGCUCAACCCGGGAACUGCGUCCGAUACUGGCAGGCUUGAAUCCGGGAGAGGGAUGCGGAACUCCAGGUGUAGCGGUGAAAUGCGUAGAUAUCUGGAGGAACACCGGUGGCGAAGGCGGCAUCCUGGACCGGUAUUGACGCUGAGGCGCGAAAGCCAGGGGAGCAAACGGG